UGAAAAUAUUUAAUGAAAAUUUAAAUAUUUUUAUUGUAAGAAGCCAUCACUGCAUGUAUUGCUAAUUUCUUUCGCAUUAAGACAUAUAUUUUUUUACUUUAGUGUUUAUUCAGGUUACCAUACCAUUUUAAUCCCACCAUCUGAAGUUGAAAUUAAUCCUGCCCUUUGGUUGUCAACAAUUAGGCAAUGCAAAGAGUUCGUGAUGCAUUCUGUUCCUAUGGCAUUAUGGAACUUUGCACAAAAGGCUUAGGAUCAUCUAUUAGCCAAUUGAAGAGAGGGAUAAACUUGAGCUGCGUUCAAUCCUGUGUUGUUGUAGCUGAGAAGAGGCCUAGAGUUGGAUUAACAACCUCAUUCUCUAAAUUAUUUUCUGCUUUCAUAAACUAUAUUGUAUACAAAUCCAACUGAGAGUGAACGUCUUAGCUUUUUAAAGGU